GGCAUUUUAUUGGUGUUCCGUAUAACAGCCUUCUAAGCUGUGGGUCUUGGGUUCGAACCCCAACGGAAUCA
rnacentral:tRNA from 1 species